GUUACACUGCUGUUAUCAUGUCUUCAACCUGUUCAACGUUUAUGCUUUCUCUUAUGAUGUCUGAGUAGUGAAUAGGUUUCUGAGGAUGGGUUAGAGUAGUAUAGAAUUUUCAGUAUGCUAGGUGAUUGAGUAUUGAUUGAUAGAUCCCUUCUGGAUUAGUUGUUCUUAAUGCCUAUUGCUUUCUGAUCAACUGGAAUUUGAGCCCAGACAUUUCCGCGCCCAAAAGGUGUUCGAUGAAAUGUCUGAACCACUGAUUC
rnacentral:sRNA from 1 species